ensembl:snRNA U1 U1 spliceosomal RNA
GGGAGAUACCAUGAUCACUAAGGUGGUUUUCCCAGAGUGAGGCUUAUCCAUUGCACCCUGGAUGUGCUGACCCCUGUGAUUUCCCCAAUUGUGGGGAACUCG